CGUUAAGAAGCUAUGGACUAGCGAUAGCCUUUUAAGCUAUAGACAGGUGACCUCAAACCACCCUUAAUG
rnacentral:tRNA from 1 species